CCAAAUCAAGUACAAUAUUAUGUGAAUAUCUUUGUAAUAUAUGCUGUAUAACUGUAUACAAAAUGCAAGUGUUAUGACUGAGACAAAAAAAAAGUUAUGUAAGCUUGACGUCAAAAAUGAAUGUAUAGACACGUUUUUAUAGGCUCAUUAUUUAGCUAUGUUUUCACUUUUGGUGCUUAUUAUCUUUUAUGACGAUGAAAUUUGAAUUUUUAAUCCUACGCGUAACUAAAAAAUAGAAAUACAUGUCGGACUAGAAAGUUUCGUAAAUGUCUUUAAAAAAAAAAAAACAGUAAAUUGUCUUACCUUGAAG
rnacentral:lncRNA from 1 species